AAAGGAAUAGACGGGGACCCGCACAAGCGGUGGAGCAUGUGGUUUAAUUCGAAGCAACGCGAAGAACCUUACCAAAUCUUGACAUCCCUCUGAAACCAUAUGUAAUGUAUGCGUCCUUCGGGACAGAGGAGACAGGUGGUGCAUGGUUGUCGUCAGCUCGUGUCGUGAGAUGUUGGGUUAAGUCCCGCAACGAGCGCAACCCUUAUCUUUAGUAGCCAGCAUUUCGGAUGGGCACUCUAGAGAGACUGCCGGGGAUAACCCGGAGGAAGGCGGGGAUGACGUCAAAUCAUCAUGCCCCUUAUGAUUUGGGCUACACACGUGCUACAAUGGCGUAAACAAAGGGAAGCGAAAUGGUGACAUGAAGCAAAUCCCAAAAAUAACGUCUCAGUUCGGAUUGUAGUCUGCAACUCGACUACAUGAAGCUGGAAUCGCUAGUAAUCGCGAAUCAGAAUGUCGCGGUGAAUACGUUCCCGGGUCUUGUACACACCGCCCGU
rnacentral:rRNA from 1 species